CGGGACGUAGCGCAGCUUGGUAGCGCACCCGCUUUGGGAGCGGGGGGUCGCAGGUUCAAAUCCUGUCGUCCCGACCA
rnacentral:tRNA from 1 species